AUACUUGUGGCUGAGUGGUCAAAAGCAAUAAGCUCAUAACUUAUUAAAAAUCGAAAGUUCAAAUCUUUUCAGGUAUA
rnacentral:tRNA from 1 species